GGCCGUUGGCUCAACUCGUAGGCAUGCGGAACGCAGAGGACGUGAUCUUCAGAGAGAGGGAACCAGGUGUUGUCCCGGAGCCAAGCAAUGCAGGUGCUCCGCUCCUAGCAGAAGAGAACGAAGAGCAAGAAA